GAAGUUAUUUGUUGGCGAAGAGUAUAUAAAGGCCUAUGUGUGUGUGUGUUUCACAUCUUUAUCAAACUCUUCAGCCACUCGUCAUGAACAAAAACACAUUGCUGGUCCUUUUGUGUCUGCAGGCGAUCCUGCUCAUCACGGCCUCAUCUGAGAUGACAGCUGAACAGCCGACACCGACAGAGGAGAUAACUUCUGUACACAACACGAAGGUGAAAAGCCCAAAUGUUAAACAUCUGAAAAAAUGCCGCGUGACACAAGCAGGAUGUCGACGACACCACACAAAACCACAGCAGGGAUCAGACAUAAAGCCACAACCCUACAGACCCAAAACUCGUAGAGGGAGUCUGGCUCCAAUUCUGAUACAGUAAAGGAAUGAAGUGAAGGAGUGAUCACGUCUAGCGCUGAGUCUCCUGCUUUGUUUCUUCUGAAGAUGAUGAAAUAAAAAGAAAAACAGAAAUGAAGACCGACACUAUAACUAUAAAAAUCACAAUAUUUCUCAGACCAGUGGUAUAUAAGAAAUAUGUGUGUAAUAUAAAAAGGUUAUUAAGGCACUACAUAAAUGAAUGUAUCUGAUACAAUUAUAAUUUGAUGUUUAUGUUCACAAGUUUUGAAUGUGGCCUUGUUCAUUUUACUGGUUUUGAUGAAAUAAAGAGUAAGUUUUCAGA